UAUAUAUAUAUAUAACAUGUCCUACUCCUAAUACAUAUGGGAUUAGGGUUGUUUACUCCUAUUCCUAUUUACAUAACUAUUCUAACAGUUCUGAAAGUGGCUUUCCUGCAAAGGUUUCUCAAUUUGUUUGCUCCUUCCCGUCUGAAAUAUUCCAAGUGAAGUCAGCCGCUGCUAUAUCGGCGCAUGAUCCUUAAAGGCUUUUACCACAAUGAGUAUUUUGCUGCUUCUCAAUCGUGCUCAUCUCAAAGACUCAAACUGCAAUUAUUGCUUUUC
rnacentral:lncRNA from 1 species